rnacentral:rRNA from 1 species
AUGGUCAUGGAGGAGGAGGCGACACUGCUCCCGAGCAGCUCGGCGUGCGAGGAGAUCGGAGGGGACGAGAGCUUGGCGGUGGGCGACGAGGUGAAGAGGCAGCUGUGGCUGGCCGGGCCGCUCAUCGUGCGAGGCCUGAUGCAGAACCUGAUCCAGAUGAUCUCCGUCAUGUUCGUAGGCCACCUCGGCGAGCUGCCCCUCGCCGGCGCCUCCAUGGCCAGCUCCUUCGCCGCUGUCACCGGAUUCAGCGUGCUGUACUGA